UGUCCCCUGAGACACGUGGGCUGACAUGGGGUUUCUGCCAUUCUGAUGAUCAAUUAUCUAAACUAUGAUGAAUUAAGAAAUGCAUGGCAGAAAUGCAACUGUGCACCGUAUGAUCCUGCAGCACAACUCUCUCCUUUCCUUGACCUUGUGGAUAAGAAAGGACUAGUAUGUUGCUCUGCCUCUAUGGGAUGGGAUGGCAGCAUCCCACCUGCAAGACUCCAUCCUGCAUUUCCCCUCCUGCCACCAUCUAAAGCCUCUUUUAGGUGGUGGUUUUGUUGCAGGUGGAGGCACCCAGAUCCCAAAGCACACCAACAUCUGGCCAUUCCCACACUAUGGCCACAGCAUCGCCUUCUUGCUGUAUAGGAACUCACUCAGUGAGAAACCACCCCACACUUGGAAAUCACCCGAGUUUCCACUCCUUAUUCUCAAAACAUUUUUUGAAUAGCCCUUGCAGCAUCACUUCCCAGGAAAGGGAUUUUGCCCAAACCCUGCACCUUUUUUUCUGAGCCUGGGCACUGCAGUUUUCCAUAUCUGCACCACGGAAUGGAGAGGGAGACCAUUCCAGAGCCCACUUCUCUCUAUGGCAUUUCUUGAUCCAGAAAAUCUAUGUGAUGUUUAGUCCCCCCAUCCCCUGCGUCCGCACAACCCUGGUGUCACAUCCCACCUGUGACAUGUAGAUCCAUGGGAGUGCUGAGGGGAGAUCUCCUUAGCCAAUUGCCCUCGUUCCUCUGCUGGUACGCACACGUGUAUGUCCCACUGCUUCUAGCAGAGAUGUUCAGCAGCAUGGAGUAGAUGACCGUAUGCUGAUGGGCUUUCAUGCUGUACAGUUCCAUCCCAUCCUUGCAGAAGACAAAUCUGGCAGCAGGAACCAGCUUCUGAAGGAUACAUUGAGCCAGGACGAUUUCCCCUUCCUGAGCUCUGGAAGCGUUAAGGUACAGGGCUGGAGCCUGGAGAGUACCUGGAGAGAUGGCACAGGGAUUCCACCAGCAUCAUUAGCUGCAAAACACACUGCAUUCCAAGUCAUGGAGAAUCUGCCCUCCUGGGGUGGAUAUUGGGAAUUCAGAGGCAAUAAAGCCUUUCUCUCUUUCCAUCUCCUCCCCCACCAUGUCUUCAUUUUCUGGACCCAUUCUCACACUCACCAUCAGCUGUGGAACUGCAGAUGCCCUGGGUGCUCACAGCAGUACCUGCACCGUGGAGCAGAGAGGGGUUUGGUUAGAGGGACAGUGUCCUGCACACCCAUAAGUUUCUGUCCAUGUCUCCAGUCUUCAGCAGUCACCACUCCACAAGUAUAUCCCCUUCCCGUAUCGCCACUGUCUCCAUCUGAGCAAGCCUAAAUCCAUUUGGGAUAGGUUUUCUUUUCCAGAUGCAGUCUCCUCUACUUCAAAAAUCAUGCUUUUGGUGCUAGACUCUAUCCCACAUGUACUCCACCUCCACCCUCGGCACCAUCUCAAGCCUCUUUGUGCGGGGCUUCUUCCUCCAAGCAGAGUUCCCUGCUACCCAAAGCAGCCCCAACUCACCAAACACCAGCAGCAGGAGGACAUGGACAUGGGGACACGGCACGGCCCAUCCCACCUGCCCGCACAUCUUUUGGAGAUCUCUCCUCACGGUUCCUGCUUUGCUGUGAGCUGGGUGCA
ensembl:lncRNA